rnacentral:misc_RNA from 1 species
CAGGAGCUCGUAUUAUGUG